UAAUGGAUGGCGAGAUAAAAUUAUUUGCUUGCAAAAGAUUUGAUUUUACAAAUUAUUGGUGAAAUAUCUUUAUCUGGUGCAACAUAUAAGUCUAUGGAGUUUGUUGGCACAACUGUUGAAAGUUUAACUAUGGAAGAAAGGAUGACAUUAUGUAACAUGGUUAUUGAAGUUGGGGCAAAGAAUGCUGUUGUCCCUACUGAUGGUUGUCUUUGUGUCUGCGUGCG